UCUCUGGUAGUAUAGUGGUGAGUAUCCGCGCCUGUCACGUGCGAGACCGGGGUUCGAUUCCCCGCCAGAGAG
rfam:Parastrongyloides trichosuri strain KNP genome assembly, scaffold: PTRK_scaffold0000025